rnacentral:rRNA from 1 species
CAAGUCGAACGGCAGCACGGAGAGCUUGCUCUCUGGCGGCGAGUGGCGAACGGGUGAGUAAUAUAUCGGAACGUGUCCAAUAAUGGGGGAUAACGAGUCGAAAGAUUCGCUAAUACCGCAUACGCCCUACGGGGGAAAGCAGGGGAUCGUAAGACCUUGCGUUAAUGGAGCGGCCGAUAUCUGAUUAGCUAGUUGGUGAGGUAAAGGCUCACCAAGGCGACGAUCAGUAGCUGGUUUGAGAGAACGACCAGCCACACUGGAACUGAGACACGGUCCAGACUCCUACGGGAGGCAGCAGUGGGGAAUUUUGGACAAUGGGGGCAACCCUGAUCCAGCCAUUCCGCGUGAGUGAAGAAGGCCUUCGGGUUGUAAAGCUCUUUCGCAAGGGAAGAAAACUUAUGAUCGAAUAAAUCAUGAGGUUGACGGUACCUUGAUAAGAAGCACCGGCUAACUACGUGCCAGCAGCCGCGGUAAUACGUAGGGUGCGAGCGUUAAUCGGAAUUACUGGGCGUAAAGCGUGCGCAGGCGGUUUUGUAAGUCGGAUGUGAAAUCCCCGGGCUCAACCUGGGAACUGCGUUCGAAACUGCAAGGCUANAGUGUGUCAGAGGGGGGUAGAAUUCCACGUGUAGCAGUGAAAUGCGUAGAGAUGUUGGAGGAAUACAANUGGCGAAGGCAGCCCCCUGCGAUAACACUGACGCUCAUUGCACGAAAAGCGUGGGGGAGCAAACAGGAUUNAGAUACCCUGGGUUANUCCACGCCCCUUAAACGAUU